CCGAGCGAGGGCUCCCGGGCCCGACCUCCAACCCUUUGUUGACCAACACCUGUUGCCUCGGGGGCGACCCGGCCUUCGCGCCGGGGCCCCCGACGGACCACUCAACUCUGGAUCUUUGCGUCGGAGUACUUGAUAAAUUGAAUCA
rnacentral:misc_RNA from 1 species